UCUGCCUACGGGACGCAGCAGUAGGGAAUCUUCGUCAAUGGGCGCAAGCCUGAACGAGCGAUGCCGCGUGAGUGAAGAAGGCCUUCGGGUCGUAAAGCUCUGUUGCGGGGGAAAAAAGGCAGCAUCAGGAAAUGGGUGCUGACUGAUGGUGCCCCGCCAGAAAGUCACGGCUAACUACGUGCCAGCAGCCGCGGUAAUACGUAGGUGGCGAGCGUUAUCCGGAAUGAUUGGGCGUAAAGGGUGCGCAGGCGGUCCUGCAAGUCUGGAGUGAAACGCAGGAGCUCAACUAAUGCAUGGCGUUGGAA
rnacentral:rRNA from 1 species